rnacentral:lncRNA from 1 species
AGAAAAUAUACAUUAAAUGCAAAGAGAUUUUAAAAAAAUACAAAAAAUGGUAUGUGGUAGAAAAUAUUUUUAGGGAAUUAUGAAAAAAAUUGGAUUAAAAAAUAAUAAAGGAACUAUUUAAAAUUAAUUUUAGAAGAAAAGAAAAUAAAAUGAAAUGAAAUAAAUAAAUAAAACAUUUGAAUCCAACGAUAGUCAUGUGGCGUGUUCUGAUUGGAUGAGGAUUUAAAUGUUCC